UACGUAGGGUGCAGGCGUUAAUCGGAAUUACUGGGCGUAAAGCGUGCGCAGGCGGUCUGCUAAGAGAGGUGUGAAAUCCCCGGGCUUAACCUGGGAACUGCGCUUCUAACUGGCAGGCUAGAGUGUGGCAGAGGGGGGUGGAAUUCCACGUGUAGCAGUGAAAUGCGUAGAAGAUGUGGAGGAACACCGAUGGCGAAGGCAGCCCCCUGGGCUAACACUGACGC
rnacentral:rRNA from 1 species